rnacentral:rRNA from 1 species
CAUGCCGCGUGCAGGAAGACGGCCCUACGGGUUGUAAACUGCUUUUGUCCGGGAAUAAACCUUUCUAUGUAUAGGAAGCUGAAUGUACCUGAAGAAUAAGGAUCGGCUAACUCCGUGCCAGCAGCCGCGGUAAUA